rnacentral:rRNA from 1 species
AUUGAACGCUGGCGGCAUGCCUUACACAUGCAAGUCGAACGGUAACAGGUCUUCGGAUGCUGACGAGUGGCGAACGGGUGAGUAAUACAUCGGAACGUGCCUAGUAGUGGGGGAUAACUACUCGAAAGAGUGGCUAAUACCGCAUGAGAUCUACGGAUGAAAGCAGGAGAUCGCAAGACCUUGUGCUACUAGAGCGGCCGAUGGCAGAUUAGGUAGUUGGUGGGAUAAAAGCUUACCAAGCCGACGAUCUGUAGCUGGUCCGAGAGGACGAUCAGCCACACUGGGACUGAGACACGGCCCAGACUCCUACGGGAGGCAGCAGUGGGGAAUUUUGGACAAUGGGCGCAAGCCUGAUCCAGCAAUGCCGCGUGCAGGGUGAAGGCCUUCGGGUUGUAAACUGCUUUUGUACGGAACGAAAAGCCCUGGGUUAAUACCCUGGGGUCAUGACGGUACCGUAAGAAUAAGCACCGGCUAACUACGUGCCAGCCGCCGCCGUAAGAC